rnacentral:rRNA from 1 species
UGCAAGUCGAACGAACCAUCCUGAAGAUUGAAGCUUGCUUCAUGAUUCAGAUUUUGGUGAGUGGCGGACGGGUGAGUAACACGUGGGUAACCUGCCCAAAAGUGGGGGAUAACAUUUGGAAACAAGUGCUAAUACCGCAUAACAACUACUUUCACAUGAUCGUAGCUUGAAAGAUGGCUCUGCUAUCGCUUUUGGAUGGACCCGCGGCGUAUUAGCUAGUUGGUGAGGUAAUGGCUCACCAAGGCAAUGAUACGUAGCCGACCUGAGAGGGUAAUCGGCCACAUUGGGACUGAGACACGGCCCAAACUCCUACGGGAGGCAGCAGUAGGGAAUCUUCCACAAUGGGCGAAAGCCUGAUGGAGCAAUGCCGCGUGAGUGAAGAAGGUUUUCGGAUCGUAAAACUCUGUUGUUGAAGAAGAACAUGCGUGAGAGUAACUGUUCACGUACUGACGGUAUUCAACCAGAAAGCCACGGCUAACUACGUGCCAGCAGCCGCGGUAAUACGUAGGUGGCAAGCGUUGUCCGGAUUUAUUGGGCGUAAAGAGAAUGUAGGCGGUUUAUUAAGUUUGAAGUGAAAGCCCUCGGCUCAACCGAGGAAGUGCUUCGAAAACUGGUAAACUUGAGUGCAGAAGAGGAAAGUGGAACUCCAUGUGUAGCGGUGGAAUGCGUAGAUAUAUGGAAGAACACCAGUGGCGAAGGCGGCUUUCUGGUCUGUAACUGACGCUGAGAUUCGAAAGCAUGGGUAGCAAACAGGAUUAGAUACCCUGGUAGUCCAUGCCGUAAACGAUGAGUGCUAAGUGUUGGAGGGUUUCCGCCCUUCAGUGCUGCAGCUAACGCAUUAAGCACUCCGCCUGGGGAGUACGACCGCAAGGUUGAACUCAAGGAAUUGACGGGGGCCCGCACAAGCGGUGGAGCAUGUGGUUUAAUUCGAAGCAACGCGAAGAACCUUACCAGGUCUUGACAUACCAUGAAAGCUAGAGAUUAGUCUUUCCUUCGGGA